rnacentral:rRNA from 1 species
GAUGAACGCUGGCGGCGUGCCUAAUACAUGCAAGUCGAGCGAACAGACGAGGAGCUUGCUCCUCUGACGUUAGCGGCGGACGGGUGAGUAACACGUGGAUAACCUACCUAUAAGACUGGGAUAACUUCGGGAAACCGGAGCUAAUACCGGAUAAUAUAUUGAACCGCAUGGUUCGAUAGUGAAAGACGGUUUUGCUGUCACUUAUAGAUGGAUCCGCGCCGCAUUAGCUAGUUGGUAAGGUAACGGCUUACCAAGGCAACGAUGCGUAGCCGACCUGAGAGGGUGAUCGGCCACACUGGAACUGAGACACGGUCCAGACUCCUACGGGAGGCAGCAGUAGGGAAUCUUCCACAAUGGGCGCAAGCCUGACGGAGCAACGCCGCGUGAGUGAUGAAGGUCUUCGGAUCGUAAAACUCUGUUAUUAGGGAAGAACAAAUGUGUAAGUAACUAUGCACGUCUUGACGGUACCUAAUCAGAAAGCCACGGCUAACUACGUG